rnacentral:rRNA from 1 species
CACGUAGGGCGCGAGCGUUGUCCGGAAUCAUUGGGCGUAAAGGGCUCGUAGGCGGCCUGUUGCGUCCGCUGUGAAAGCCCGGGGCUUAACCCCGGGUCGGCAGUGGAUACGGGCAGGCUAGAGGUAGGUAGGGGAGAAUGGAAUUCCCGGUGUAGCGGUGAAAUGCGCAGAUAUCGGGAGGAACACCGGUGGCGAAGGCGGUUCUCUGGGCCUUACCUGACGCUGAGGAGCGAAAGCGUGGGGAGCGAACAGG